UAAAGGGAAGCGAAUGGGGUUAGCAAUUCGCCUCGCCAGAUUCAGUUUCUCGCAUGCCGCGACGUUCGAGAUCUCGAUCCCUGUAGACGAGUCGUGUGCGGACGCGUCAGGCGGGAAGCGCAUUUUUGGCGGGCGAGCGUCAACGUCGGCCUCCGACGGUCUACAAUGUCGCAAGGAAGGUAAACCGACCUUCGGGACGGUUAUUAAGCCUCGCGAACGUACCGACCGUCGGAGACCGUGGCAAGCUAUCGCGACGCGUGCCCUCCUUCGUGGUUGGCUGGUGUCCCGUAUCGUUUGGCCGGUUGUCGACCGUGGCGGACGGCACGCCUGUGCGCUCGAACCGCUGCCGGUCAACAGUUCGGUGAUCACUCACCACGCGUCUAGGACGUUGACGAUCAUACGGCUCCAUCCGACCCGUCUUGAAACACGGACCAAGGAGUCUAACAUGURCGCGAGUCUCUGGGUGAUCGAAACCCGUGGGCGAAAUGAAAGUAAAUGCGGCAUGAGCCGCAGAGGUGAGAAGCGCCUUCCCUGCGUUGGCGCCGCAUCAUCGACCGACCUAUUCUACUCCUAGGAAGGUUUGAGUAAGAGCGUAUCUGUUGGGACCCGAAAGAUGGUGAACUAUGCCUGAAUAGGGUGAAGCCAGCGGAAACACUGGUGGAAGCUCGUAGCGGUUCUGACGUGCAAAUCGAUCGUCGAAUUUGGGUAUAGCGGCGAAAGACUAAUCGAACCAUCUAGUAGCUGGUUCCCUCCGAAGUUUCCCUCAGGAUAGCUGGAGCUCGGAUGCAGUUUU
rnacentral:rRNA from 1 species